GUACACUCCUGCGGGAGGCAGCAGUGGGGAAUAUUGCACAAUGGGCGCAAGCCUGAUGCAGCCAUGCCGCGUGUAUGAAGAAGGCCUUCGGGUUGUAAAGUACUUUCAGCGGGGAGGAAGGCAAUACGGUUAAUAACCGUGUUGAUUGACGUUACCCGCAGAAGAAGCACCGGCUAACUCCGUGCCAGCAGCCGCGGUAAUACGGAGGGUGCAAGCGUUAAUCGGAAUUACUGGGCGUAAAGCGCACGCAGGCGGUCUGUCAAGUCGGAUGUGAAAUCCCCGGGCUCAACCUGGGAACUGCAUUCGAAACUGGCAGGCUUGAGUCUUGUAGAGGGGGGUAGAAUUCCAGGUGUAGCGGUGAAAUGCGUAGAGAUCUGGAGGAAUACCGGUGGCGAAGGCGGCCCCCUGGACAAAGACUGACGCUCAGGUGCGAAAGCGUGGGGAGCAAACAGGAUUAGAUACCCGAGUAGUCCCAU
rnacentral:rRNA from 1 species